rnacentral:rRNA from 1 species
GGGCCCGCACAAGCAGUGGAGUAUGUGGUUUAAUUCGAAGCAACGCGAAGAACCUUACCAGGUCUUGACAUCCAACUAACGAGGUAGAGAUACGUCAGGUGCCCUUCGGGGAAAGUUGAGACAGGUGGUGCAUGGUUGUCGUCAGCUCGUGUCGUGAGAUGUUGGGUUAAGUCCCGCAACGAGCGCAACCCUUGCCAUUAGUUGCUACGCAAGAGCACUCUAAUGGGACUGCCGUUGACAAAACGGAGGAAGGUGGGGACGACGUCAAAUCAUCAUGCCCCUUAUGACCUGGGCUACACACGUACUACAAUGGCCGUAAACAGAGGGAAGCAAUACUGCGAAGUGGAGCAAACCCCUAAAAACGGUCUCAGUUCAGAUUGCAGGCUGCAACCCGCCUGCAUGAAGUCGGAAUUGCUAGUAAUCGCGGAUCAGCAUGCCGCGGUGAAUACGUUCCCGGGCCUU